rnacentral:misc_RNA from 1 species
AGCAGCCGCGGUAAUUCCAGCUCCAAUAGCGUAUAUUAAAGUUGUUGCAGUUAAAAAGCUCGUAGUUGAAUUUCGGGAUUGGCGCAUCGGUCGUGCCUCACGGGGUAUGAACUGGUGCAGUCAAUUUCUCACCUUCUGGAGAACCGCGAUGUCCUUAAUUGGAUGCCGCGGGGAACCAGGACCUUUACUUUGAAAAAAUUAGAGUGUUUAAAGCAGGCAUUUUUGCUUGAAUACAUUAGCAUGGAAUAAUAAAAUAGGACGGCAUGGUUCUAUUUUGUUGGUUUCUAGGACCACCGUAAUGAUUAAUAGGGAUAGUUGGGGGCAUUAGUAUUCAAUUGUCAGAGGUGAAAUUCUUGGAUUUAUUGAAGACUAACUACUGCGAAAGCAUUUGCCAAGGAUGUUUUCAUUAAUCAAGAACGAAAGUUAGGGGAUCGAAGACGAUCAGAUACCGUCGUAGUCUUAACCAUAAACUAUGCCGACUAGGAAUCAGACGAUGUUAAUUUUUUCAAUGACUCGUUUG